GGUUCCCAAGAGGUGAAAAUCUCUCUUGAUCAAUCCAUUAUCUGCAAAUGGUGUCAAAACAUACCUCCUUCCUCUCUGGCCACCUCUCCAAGAGUCUCCAUUUGUCUCCUCUUCUUGCCCCCUUAUUUCCUUUUACCACCUCUUCCCUCUCUUGGGAAUGGGGUGGGAGUGGAGAGUAAUCCUGUUUCUCCAGGUUAAGACAAACAUCUGUGCCCCGCGUGGUUGUGGUUCAGCACCACGGACAGUGGCCGCAGGGCCCCUCCCUCCCUGAGUCCUGUUGGCUGACCGUGGGCUGCUGAUGGGCAGUUGUUGGACCCUGUCGCCUGCCCAACCUGGUGCGUCUGGAAACCUCAUGCGUCUGUGUCUGGAGGUUUGGCCAUUAAUAGUUUGUAUUUCUUCAUUCCCUGAGUGAGUGGUCAGUCAGUUCCCUGUGGCCAUUUGGGGAUUUAAUUCCUCCAGGAACUGCUUCCCUUGACUUUUUUUUUUUUAAGAUCAAGUUCAUCUUUUAUAACAGUUUUGGUGUAGUGGAUUUCCAGCUCAAUCAGCCCCCUUCAAAGACGCUCCUAGUGUGUUUUGACCCCGACUUCUUUUCUUGGCUGCUGUCUUUCUUCGUCUUUCUCAAGGUGGGAAGGGCCCCUGGGGACCAGCC